GCAAGUCGAGCGAGCUUGCCUAGAUGAAUUUGGUGCUUGCACCAAAUGAAACUAGAUACAAGCGAGCGGCGGACGGGUGAGUAACACGUGGGUAACCUGCCCAAGAGACUGGGAUAACACCUGGAAACAGAUGCUAAUACCGGAUAACAACACUAGACGCAUGUCUAGAGUUUAAAAGAUGGUUCUGCUAUCACUCUUGGAUGGACCUGCGGUGCAUUAGCUAGUUGGUAAGGUAACGGCUUACCAAGGCAAUGAUGCAUAGCCGAGUUGAGAGACUGAUCGGCCACAUUGGGACUGAGACACGGCCCAAACUCCUACGGGAGGCAGCAGUAGGGAAUCUUCCACAAUGGACGCAAGUCUGAUGGAGCAACGCCGCGUGAGUGAAGAAGGGUUUCGGCUCGUAAAGCUCUGUUGGUAGUGAAGAAAGAUAGAGGUAGUAACUGGCCUUUAUUUGACGGUAAUUACUUAGAAAGUCACGGCUAGCUACGUGCCAGCAGCCGCGGUAAUACGUAGGUGGCAAGCGUUGUCCGGAUUUAUUGGGCGUAAAGCGAGUGCAGGCGGUUCAAUAAGUCUGAUGUGAAAGCCUUCGGCUCAACCGGAGAAUUGCAUCAGAAACUGUUGAACUUGAGUGCAGAAGAGGAGAGUGGAACUCCAUGUGUAGCGGUGGAAUGCGUAGAUAUAUGGAAGAACACCAGUGGCGAAGGCGGCUCUCUGGUCUG
rnacentral:rRNA from 1 species